GACGAACGCUGGCGGCGUGCUUAACACAUGCAAGUCGAACGCUGAAACCAGAUGCUUGCAUUUGGUGGAUGAGUGGCGAACGGGUGAGUAACACGUGGGUGAUCUGCCCUACACUUUGGGAUAAGCCUGGGAAACUGGGUCUAAUACCGAAUAUUCACACCACCGUAGGGGUGGUGUGGAAAGCCUUGUGCGGUGUGGGAUGAGCCUGCGGCCUAUCAGCUUGUGGGUGGGGUAAUGGCCUACCAAGGCGUCGACGGGUAGCCGGCCUGAGAGGGUGUACGGCCACAUUGGGACUGAGACACGGCCCAGACUCCUACGGGAGGCAGCAUUGGGGAAUAUUGCACAAUGGGCGCAAGCCUGAUGCAGCGACGCCGCGUGGGGGAUGACGGCCUUCGGGUUGUAAACUCCUUUCGCUAGGGACGAAGCCUAUGGUGACGGUACCUGGAGAAGAAGCACCGGCUAACUACGUGCCAGCAGCCGCGGUAAAAC
rnacentral:rRNA from 1 species